CAGUCGCCGCGGUAAUACAGAGGGUGCAAGCGUUAAUCGGAAUUACUGGGCGUAAAGCGCGCGUAGGUGGUUCGCCAAGUUGGAUGUGAAAUCCCCGGGCUCAACCUGGGAACUGCAUCCAAAACUGGCGAGCUAGAGUAUGGUAGAGGGUGGUGGAAUUUCCUGUGUAGCGGUGAAAUGCGUAGAUAUAGGAAGGAACAUCAGUGGCGAAGGCGACCACCUGGACUGAUACUGACACUGAGGUGCGAAAGCGUGGGGAGCAAACAGGAUUAGAGACCCCAGUAGUCCCUGUCUCUUAUAC
rnacentral:rRNA from 1 species